UAAACAAUAAAGAAAGACUGUUGAAUCUUGGGCAAUUUGUGGGUUGUUGAAUGGUUCUGCCAAAAUUUGGUGGGAAAAACAAUCAUCUACUUUGUUUUGCAAAGAUUUUGCCUUGUCUGUAUUUUAUAAUCUUGGAAAGGCUUUUUAACAAGGGAGACCAUGCAAACACCCAUGAGUUAUAUUGACAUUUUUUAAGGUUUUAAAGUUAUCUGUUGGAUUGUUUGCAUAUUAACUCCCAUCACUUGUAUUAUAGAAUUCUGCUACUGUUUGCAUAUUAAUCCCCAUCACUAGAAUUCUGCUACGGAUAGGUGGUUAAGGAAAUGAACACCUUUUCAGUUAAAAUGAAAAAUGACAUUCUCCGCGGAGCAAUCUACCAGCAAACAAAUGUCCUUUUCAGCUUUUUAUGAAUACUAUCUGGUUUCAGUCUAAUACUUCAUAUAGGGGCAGUGGCGGAGCUAGAAAUGAGCCGUAGGGGGGGGGGGCAUUUUGCUUAACUUAUAAACAUAUAUACUAGCAAGCUGUUGUAAAAAAAAAUCGUCUUUCAUCGUAUUGGUAUUGCGCAGUCCUAUUUUGAUGAUCUUCAAGGUAGAAAAAGCACACUCAAUGCUUCCUGUUGAAACUGGUAGAGUGAGAAGCAACCGAAGCAAUCUAUCAUUCAAGUGUGCCAAAAUCUUGUACUGCGAAGACAUCAAAACCACUUAUUCUCUUUAUAUUCUUACUGGAAAUGAAGCAAAGAAGACAAUAUGCUCGGUGAUUGCUCUCUGAAUACUCUAACCAAGAAGGAAAAUCACUGAACCAAUUAAACUUGAAAUGAUGCUAUGUGAUUUCAUUUGUGCCAAGGGGGGGCCACAGCCCAUGUUUGCCGACAUGUAGCUCCGCCGGUGUAUAGGGGCAUGGUGGCAAUUGUCCCAAUGCUUUAACAAAUCGUACAGUUAUGCUUAAUUGAAAGAACUUACUAAACCUAGUGUUUGAUUUCAUGAUCCAACAAAAAGUAAGAAUUCUUAUGGGAAAAGAUUGGAGAGGAUUGAAAGGGAAACAUCAGGUUGCUAAAAUGAAUUAUUUCUUCCCUGCAGGCUACAUGAGUUAAAAAAGGAUCUCAUGGCCACGUUGGCACUUUAAUAGCCUCGGCCAGUGAAGAAUUUUUUGUCCUUGGUUAUUAAUAAUAAUGAGCAUCUCUUAUGAUUACAUUGAAAGCAGUUGGCGACUGCUUUGGAUGAUGAUUGAUGCUUGUUUUAUUCAGUCCAUCCUCAUGAGUUGAUUAUUAUCACCCAAUCAGCCACUUUCAGAAUCAGAAGCAUGUAGUUGUGAGCUAUAGGGCUUUGGCAGCAUCAAUGCAAGCACUAUUUACUGUGCAUUUUAUAUCGGUUGCUCCUAAUCUCACUAUCUCCUCAAAGAUGUUCUGCUAAUGACUCAGUGGCUGGACAUGAACUACGCCUGAAGGAUAGGAAUCUUUUGUUUUUAUUCAGUGGUUGGUACUAAUAGGUGACCUCAGUGUUUGCACUUGCUGAAUGUCUUAUCAGAAAACGAAUAGAAUAGAAGUUUCACCAACUAAGCAUGGAAUUUUGGCAACCUUUGUUCAUGGAACAGUAGCUUGGCAUAUCUGGAUGCAGAGAAAAUGUAUCAUUUUUUUUCAGAAUUAGAGACCAAGUUUUGUAGCUUCAAGAAAAGGUUUCACUGAUGAAGUCUAUAUGCAGCUCAAUAGAAUCAAAGGAGAAGCAAGACCUGUUAUAGCUUGGCUAGUUUCAUACUCCUGAUCAUUGUCGAGGGGCUCUCUUGUGCUCUUAGUUUUUGCCCCUCAUUUGUAUGUACAAAAGUAGGGAUUUCCACUGUAUUUUCCUCAAAAAAAAAUUGUGGCAACCAGACACUUGACUGGCUUUUUAUUGUGAGAGAUUAUGUAGCAUAAGAAUCAGAAGAAUUUCUUUACAGUACUGCAAUUUUUAUGGAAUUUCCACAUGGUAAGAAUGGAAAACAAAUUGUUGAUAUCUCUAUGAGGACGCACAAAGUUAUUUAUGAGCAUCUAUCAGGGUCUUUGAUUAUCCCAUAUUAACUUUGCGUGUUACUUCAGAUGAUUAUCAGGUUUACUUAAACACUUCAGUGAUCUCCAUGAUUAAUACAUGUUGUGAAUUCAUGGUCCAUCUUCCAGCCUAAUUAAAAACCAAGUUAGAUUAUUUGUCAGUUUCAUAUUAACAAAACGUCGUAAGCCUCUAUUGGUUUGAUAAUUGACAUAUGAGCAGGCCAACUCAACAUUUUGAAGGUGAGAUUCAUUUUUACCGUACUCAAAAUACUCCUUUUCACUGCUUGCAGGAUGAUAAAUCAUAAGAGAAUUAAGAUAAUAUUGUCAGUAACAGUAACACAUCCAACAUAGAGCCUGAAUGGUACAGUAUGUAUCAAGCUUGCUACAGGCAUGAGUGUGAACUGCGUGAAUCAACUCAUCAAAUAUCUCCUUCACGUCACACUUGCAUCAUAUUUUAAGACAUUCAACAGAAAACAUAAUUGAUUCCCAUCAUAUAAAUACGUUCAACAGGCUGUGCCAUUCUCUUUUUUAAAAAAAAAAAAUAAAGCAAACAGGCUGUGCGCCUGUGCCAUUCUCUUUCUUGAUUUGUGAUAGAAUUGCUAGUCUGAAUCUCACCUGUUGGUAUUUGAACAACAGCUCCCUGAACUUGUUUGCAUGGUUCAUCUCUUUAAAUUUGAAGUAACUUAAUCUAAUAGAAAUCAUAUCGACCGAGGAAUACAUUCUUGUAAGAUUGCUACACUCAAGUUUGAAAACACCAACACUGUCUGCUCGUUGCUUCUGUUUUUCCUUGACCUUAGCACAAGUUUGAGUCUUAGCUUUAAUCUGCGCAGGAGUUGGUAGCAAGAAUAGCGAUCAUGGACAGGUUUUGCAUUUGUCUUGUGUGUUUGCCUACUAAGCAAGCAAUUAGUAGCAUGGCACUCUGAAAAUGCACAAAUCAUAAUUUUGGGGAGGAAAACUGUGGAAAAAGAUAAUAGAUCCACAGCCUCUUAGAUGCACGCCAAGUGUUUGUUUUUGCUUUUAUUUUUUUCUUACUAGGACUGUAGGACGGAUCAAUAUCACUCACUACGUACGGGGUGCCAUAUUUGUUAAACCUGGCCAUGUCAAGGGCUCAAGGCCUGACAAAGGGUAUGCGGAAAACCAUACUAAAGUAUUUGAAACCGGCUUAAAUAGGCCAAGGUGAAAGAUAGGCAGUUUAAAAGUUUGAGUCUGAAACUAAUGAAUUAUAGAGUAGUAUGUUUUUCAUAUUAUGGAGCAAUACUUUCAAGCCCCUGCAAUUUGGUAAACAUUGCAGCAGCUGAUGUAGGUGCUGUGCUUGAUUUGCUAGCAGCAAACUAAUUUCCAUUCAACUCGUGACUUUGUAGUGAUGAGAUUUACUAUCUACUCUGCUGUUGGAGAUGUCGGUUUGUGGCCAGGUCAUGCCAAGAAGGCGCUGUUGAAGCACAGAACUGGAAGAAAAGGGAAUAAAACGCAUUAUUAGCACCCCGCUGUAUAAAGUGUGCAACACAAUGUUGAGCUUUCUUCUGAGCAUCUGCUGGUAAGCAAAGUUUGGUCCUGUGCUUGCUGUUGAAACUUUUCGGCGAGAAGAAAGUGUGCGGAGACAUCAGACAUGGGCGGCUGUGCCGCGGCUUCGCUGCCAGCUGGGAUGGUGAGAUUUGCAGCCAAAGCAUCAACAUCAAUGCUACCAGGCUGCGCCGGUGCCGGAGGGACGGAGUGGCGGGGACCAUUCCUUGGUCAAUACACUCGCGCCAAUAAAUACGGCCGUUGCAUGUGAGCCCACUGGCCGGGGGAAUCCUUGGGCGCCUGUGCUUGUCUUAUGGUAAAGACCCGGCGGGGGUGAACAUUUAACAAGGCCGGUGAGGCUUCCCCUGCCGCGCUCCAGCUCCGCUCGAGGCGGCGGUCGCUGCUGUCCGUGCAGCCUCUGGGUUUGCCGGUUUGACGUACCAGCGGGUACAUCCACGGAGCACUGCUCGCGUGCGUGGCGAACGGAACCAGGAGCGUACGUACACUGUGCUGUGCCCUGGCCGGGCCGUCUCUCGUCCUUCCGGUUCCGGGCAGGGGGCUCCAGGAUGAAAACAACCGUCUUCUUUUGUCUGUCCUUGUCGUCAGUGGCGGAGCGCUGUGGAGGCGAAAUUGGGCCUUGGCCCCCUCUUGGCCCAGGAAAAACAAUGAGCCGUCCGGCAUGAACUUCUAGCGCGCAUCUUUCGGCAGCUUGCCUUUUUUCUUCUUCCUCGAGAGCUCCUUCCAGAGGCUGUUCAGGUAGCCGCUGUACUUGUUCAAGAGGCAGUUCUU